AUCAUAUAGUAGCUAUAAUCUCAUCAUUCUAGUACUAGUACUAGAAUAAACUGAGAGGCAGGACAAUAAUAGAGCUUAUAGGAACAGAGCUGUUUCUUUGGGAUGUCUUUGUUCCUUAAUGGGCUACAAGUUGCUGACAGUCUCCGUGGUAAGCAGGGUGAUAGCCAGGCCCUGAUGACAGCUCUCUUUUAGGUCUGGUUUUGGUGCAUCUGAUAUUUUGUAGCUGUAUUAGGGCUCGUAGCAUAUCACACGUUGCUCUUGAUUAUGAAAGCAGAACAGAAAAGUAGGCUUGUAUUUGCUCUGUGGCUUUUCAGAGGGUUUAAAAAACUUUAAACAUGUCUGUGCUGGGUUUGGGCUAUAGCUUGAUAGAUGUUUGUCGAAUGACUAAUUAUUGACUGAUAAGCAAACAGGCUCCAUUGCAGUAGGCUAAAUAAUCAGCGUUGAGUGGUGUGUGGUGUCUCAGUUACACAGUUACCUAUCCGCUGGUCACCGGGGCAUGUGGGUGGAUUCUAUUACUCGAGACAAGGAGAGGAUGAACUGGAGAUGGAAAACAGGAAUACCAGGAGAGGAAGGGGCCAAGUUAGACCUAAGGAUGAGCAAGAGGACAUUGGAUGUCGAACAAGAGCAGACCAGAAAAUGGGUGAUGCCUUCCUAGGUGCCUUGGUCAGUGGUUAUUUGAUUGCAAGAAACAGAAUUAUAAACCUCCCUCUCAGUAAUAAAGAUGAUGGAUUUGUUGGAAGGUUAGGCAUAAUCACACUGAGCCCAAGGCGUCGAGGAGACCCAGUCGCCUGGAGAGGCUCAAGGUAGGGCUACUCAGAGACUCAGGCGAUUGCUUGCCUGAGCUCCUGGCCCCUCCUAUGGGUGUUCUCUUGGUCAUUCUUUCUCCUGCAGCCUGCAUUUCUCUUCUGCUUUUUCUAGAUCCGAAAAUGUCCACUUUAAUCUGGACUUGACCUCCAAGGUUAUGGACCCAACAGAGAGUCUAAAUCAGAAGAAUCUGAUUGGGCAGUGCCCCCGCCCCCAGAAAAGCCAGUUAAAGAUCACGCAAAUCAGAGGCAGUAUGCCAAGAUGUGGAAGACUCCCGAAAGGCACUUGGGCAAAAAAUGGACAUAAUCUGAGAAACAAAAGCCUGGAGAAGUUGAAUCAUGACCAGCUUGGAGACUGGAGGGGAGUGGGUGUGAAUGAAGCAAGGUGUGAGCAGGCUGCAAUUGAAAUGGCUGUGUGGCAUUCCUUACUAGGACAUGCCUGCCACUGUCCUGGCCUCCCUGUGCCCUCCAGUUGUGCCAGCCCAAGCCCUGGAGCUGAGAACAGUCACCCAAUCCCUGGAAGAAGAGACUCAGAGAAUCCCAAGGGUUCCAAGCCUGAGUCACCACCUCCUUCCACCUCCACCCUCGAAUUCUGGAGAUUGAUUUCUAGGCUUUUCUUUUCUCUAAAAAGUAAUAACAAGACGUUCUCACUUGGGAGGAAGAUGAUUAAAUUUCAAAUUACUCUGCUUGCCAGAUAA
rnacentral:lncRNA from 1 species